rnacentral:rRNA from 1 species
CGAAACGCGUGACGGAGCAAUACCCGCGUGAGGGAAGAAGGUCUGUGGAUUGUAAACCUCUUUUGUUAGGGAAGAUAAUGACGGUACCUAACGAAUAAGCAUCGGCUAACUCCGUGCCAGCAGCCGCGGUAAGACGGAGGAUGCAAGCGUUAUCCGGAAUUAUUGGGCGUAAAGCGUACGUAGGCGGUUUUAUAAGUCUGUUGUCAAAGCCCGAGGCUUAACCUUGGAAAGGCAAUGGAAACUGUAAGACUAAAGAGAGAUAGGGGCAGGAGGAAUUCCAGGUGUAGCGGUGAAAUGCGUAGAUAUCUGGAAGAACACCAGUGGCG